rnacentral:rRNA from 1 species
UAGGGUGCGAGCGUUGUCCGGAUUUAUUGGGCGUAAAGAGCUCGUAGGCGGCUCGUCGCGUCGACCGUGAAAACCCGCAGCUUAACUGCGGGCUUGCGGUUGAUACGGGCGGGCUAGAGUUCGGUAGGGGAGACUGGAAUUCCUGGUGCAGCGGUGAAAUGCGCAAAUAUCAGGAGGAACACCGGUGGCGAAGGCGGGUCUCUGGGCCGAUACUGACGCUGAGGAGCGAAAGCGUGGGGAGCGAACAGG